rnacentral:rRNA from 1 species
AACGCGAAGAACCUUACCUGGGCUCGAAAUGUUGUGGACCGUGGUGGAAACAUCACUUCCCCGCAAGGGGCUGCAAUAUAGGUGCUGCAUGGCUGUCGUCAGCUCGUGUCGUGAGAUGUUGGGUUAAGUCCCGCAACGAGCGCAACCCUUACCCCCAGUUGCCAUCAUUAAGUUGGGCACUCUGGUGGAACCGCCUCGGAUAACGGGGAGGAAGGUGGGGAUGACGUCAAGUCCUCAUGGCCUUUAUGUCCAGGGCUACACACGUGCUACAAUGGCCGGUACAAACCGUCGCAAACCCGCGAGGGGGAGCUAAUCGGAAAAAGCCGGCCUCAGUUCGGAUCGCAGUCUGCAACUCGACUGCGUGAAGCUGGAAUCGCUAGUAAUCGCGGAUCAGAAUGCCGCGGUGAAUACGUUCCCGGGCCUUGUA